rnacentral:lncRNA from 1 species
AUAGUUUAAAAUUGUGCAGAACACAUCAGUAGUUUUCAAGGAUGGCCUCUGAGAUAAAUUAUUGCGUUGUGUCAUCCUAAUACGUCAAAAUGAGCAGAUUUGAUAAUGUGAUCUUAAGCCUCACUAUUAGACCUACUAUUUACUUUGAGUAGUGAACUGUUUAAUUGACGAUUAAGAUAUAUUAGGGUUAAAUCCGACUCAAAGAACCAUUACAACAACCAAGUUUAC